rnacentral:rRNA from 1 species
UACGGAGGGGGCUAGCGUUGUUCGGAAUUACUGGGCGUAAAGCGCGCGUAGGCGGACCUGCAAGUCGGGGGGUGAAAGCCCGAGGCUCAACCUCGGAACUGCCUUCGAUACUGCGGGUCUCGAGUCCGGGAGAGGUGAGUGGAAUUCCUAGUGUAGAGGUGAAAUUCGUAGAUAUUGGGAAGAACACCAGUGGCGAAGGCGGCUCACUGGCCCGUAACUGACGCUGAGGUGCGAAAGCGUGGGGAGCAAACAGG